GGGGAAUUUUCCGCAAUGGGCGCAAGCCUGACGGAGCAACGCCGCGUGAGGGAGGAAGGUCUGUGGAUUGUAAACCUCUUUUCUCUGUGAAGAAGAUCUGACGGUAGCAGAGGAAUCAGCAUCGGCUAACUCCGUGCCAGCAGCCGCGGUAAGACGGAGGAUGCAAGCGUUAUCCGGAAUUAUUGGGCGUAAAGCGUCCGUAGGCGGUUUCGUAAGUCAACUGUUAAAGACUGGGGCUUAACCCUGGGAGUGCAGUUGAAACUGCGAGACUUGAGAGUGGUAGGGGUAGAGGGAAUUCCUAGUGUAGCGGUGAAAUGCGUAGAUAUUAGGAAGAACACCAGUGGCGAAGGCGCUCUACUGGGCCAUUACUGACGCUGAUGGACGAAAGCUAGGG
rnacentral:rRNA from 1 species